UAGUAUAAUUUGAUUUUGAAUUAUAAAAAUAUAAAUAAAACGUUUUUCCUUUUUAGACACAGUAUGGCGAAAUGUCGCAGAAAACGGAAAAUGUGCAAAACACGUUGUCGCACCAAACAGGGCAGGUUUAAGCGAUGCAGAUCUGGCGACCGUCACUAUCGCAUAAAGGGAAGCUGCAAACGAAGGCGUUGUCGAUCCCGUUCCAGACGAAGAUCACGCUACCAAUGGCGUUGCCGCUCAAGAUCUGGUUCAUUUAAGCGGUGCCGUCGCUGCGACAGGCGGUACCGACUUAGGCGCAGGUCGCGGUCAUAGCCGAUAAUAUUCUUGUGCGUCGUCGGUGCUGUUGUCAAUAAUUUUUUUUUCGAAAUUGUUUGUGCUGUAUAUGAUUUAUUAUUAAAACAUUUUAUUUUUA